GCUCGCUUGGUGAAAGUUGGUAAACACGAUGGAUUUAAAAUCCAUUCCCCUGGGGUUAUCGGUUCAAGCCCGAUAGCGAGUA
rnacentral:tRNA from 1 species